GGGUCCGUAGCUCAGCCGGUUAGAGCGCCGUCUUGACAUGGCGGAGGUCACAAGUUCAAGUCUUGUCGGACCCACCA
rnacentral:tRNA from 1 species